AGCUAAUAAGUGGUGCAGUAUCCUAGUCGGAUCUGUCAGCUUGUAAGGUGGGCCUAAAAAUCCACUAAAGGGCAUAUCGAUGAAGUUCCUUGUGUUUGCUUCUUACGCCCAGUCUGGGGCAGAUGCUGGGAGUUAAGGUUUAAGGGCGCACCCGUAACGGCAUACGGGCGUUGUCCCUUUUACCGCGGAGACCUAAAUUCGUGGCGGUUAGUCAAAGGGCUUUAGUCUUUUUGAAAAGAACCUUUUUCCAAAAAGGCAAAGUACCUUUCUAUAAUGCUUUGCGCUACGGUUUAGGCUGUAACCUGUUUUGCGGUGUAGGUAACAAUAUGCUGUGAGCAGAGUAGCCUGCCUUGAGUGAGCAAAUACGGAUAACCGUCAGACGCGCUUUCUAAUGGCCUUUGAACGAUGCGUUAUAGGGUUUGAAAUGGUGCUUGCAAAAGAGGAUAAGAGUUGACACGACCGUUGAGGAAAACUCCUAGGCUGUGUUAUGCGGGGGAUUGCAGUGCGGACUAAGUGGCAAUUCAGUCAUAUCUUUGGCGACAGGGUAUGCCGUGCCUUAAUAGGAAACUGCCGUUUUGGCGACGAAACGGCGGCGCGGCGGGAAAUCCAACUGAACCUAAGCCGUAAAUUUUACUUCGUAUAAUACCACUUUUAUUUUAAA
rnacentral:sRNA from 1 species